GUAAAAUUUUAUUUUUUUAUGGGAGAGACAGAGAAGGUAAUAAUUACAAUAUGAUGUGAUAGAACCUAUACUGUAUUAAUAAAGAGAAACUAAAGGAACUGUGCAGAAGGCUGCCUGACAAGAACUGUGACCCUAUAUCAACAGAUGCAGCCAGCUCGUGUUGAUCCCUCAGGGAGGACGCUGAAGCCGUAAGCAGCCAGAUUUUUGUCUCCUUCUCCUCUCUCAUGCCCUACUUAUGCUUGUCAAGUAGCAGCUCCACCAGAAGCUGGAGAGCAAGAAAGCAAUUGUGGCUGUCCAAGUGACAGGAAUAUCUCCACUGAUAUAUCCAGAUGGGCAGAUGAGCACCGAGACUUCAAAUGUUAUGCCUUAUCUCAACAAAUUAAGUAGAAACUCGAUUGUUUUUAAGGACAUCUCCUCAGAAUUGGCCUGAUAUGAUCAGCAGACUGAACUAUUUCUAAUGUAACAGAAGUUUAGCUUUGCUCUUCCUUCAGUUCAGUCACUCGGUCGUGUCCUACUCUUUGCGACCCCAUGGACUGCAGCACACCAGACAUCCCUGUCCAUCACCAACUCCUGGAGUUUCAAAAACAUGGCUCCCCUAACCACAGAGGGCCCUCUAAACCAGGCCCACAGCUCCUAGGGCCUGUCUUCCACCAGCUUCUGGAAUUGAAGAAUACAGGACAACACUGUUUCUAUAUUGCUGCAAGAGAAACAAUAAAAGCUUGAUCAGCUGAAUGCUUAAAUAUGGCUGAAUGUUUGAUGAGAUGAAGAUGUAAUUUUGUCUAUGUUCCCUAAGGAUCUGGAUUAAAUAUGACUACAGGGCCUAAUCAAAUAGCUAGUCACUGAACAACGGUCCCAACUGCAUUUUUCAUUCUAGGCAUGCCUUUCUCCCUCACCACCCCCCCAAGUACAUUACUUAUUCACUGGUUUGUCAGCAGUGUGCAUUAUUAGCGCUUGAGAGAUAAAACUUUAAGUGU
rnacentral:lncRNA from 1 species